GCUCCCUGAGCACAACAUCCUGCAGCAUGGCUUCAUUAGUCGAGGAAACUGAGGAAAGUAAGUUUGGUUUGCCAACCGCCAUUAAACUUGAAUAGAAGAAGAAAAACUGAGGAAAACAAACGAUUAUUUGCUGAAAUAAAAGUCAACUUGGGUCGAUAGUCAGACAAAAGGACAGUUACGGUUGAUCUAAAGAAACAAAAACACAAGAAAUAACUUACAUUUAAAAUGAAAAGAGCUUGCUGUGAAACUGACUGAACACAUUUAACAAGACUUCAACAAACAUCUUCAUUGUAUCGGGUGGAGGUUUCAGAUAUCUUCAUCAGUUUGUGUCUGUAGUCUCUGUCACCAUCAAAGAUAUUUUAUAAAGAAUGUUGGAUCUGCAU